rnacentral:rRNA from 1 species
CCCUUAGAUGUUCUGGGCUGCACACGUGCUACACUGGCAGGUUCAGCGAGCUUCAUGCCCUGAUCUGAAAGGAAUGGGAAAUCUUUUCAAAACCUGCCGUGCUUGGGAUAGAUGUUUGCAAUUAUUCAUCUUCAACGAGGAUUGCCUUGUAAGCGCACGUCAUCAUCCCGCGCUGAAUACGUCCCUGCCCUUUGUACACACCGCCCGUCGCUCCUACCGAUUGAGUGGUCCGGUGAGGCUUUGGGAUCUGAGCGGAAAGAGCGUUUCGCUGUUUCUGCUCGGAAAACUCAGUCGAACCUUAUCAUUUAGAGGAAGGAGAAGUCGUAACA